AUUGAACGCUAGCGGGAUGCCUUACACAUGCAAGUCGAACGGAGUGGCGAACGGGUGAGUAAUGUAUCGGAACGUGCCCAGUAGAGGGGGAUAACUCCGCGAAAGCGUAACUAAUACCGCAUACUAUUGGAGCGGCCGAUAUCGGAUUAGCUAGUUGGUGGGGGAACGGCUCACCCAGGAGACGAUACGUAGAUGGUUUGCGAGGACGACCAGCCACACUUUGACUGUGACACGGCCCAGACUCCUACGGGAUGCAGCAGUGGGGAAUUGUGGACAAUGGGGGCAACCCUGAGCCAGCCAUCCCGCGUGUGCGAUGAAGGCCUUCGGGUUUUAAAGCACUUUUGGCAGGAAAGCGGUACCUGCAGAAUAAGCACCGGCUAACUACGUGCCAGCAGCCGCGGUAAUUC
rnacentral:rRNA from 1 species